rnacentral:rRNA from 1 species
CGCAUCUGUGCAUGUAGCAUAUCAAUAAGCGGAGGAAAAGAAACUAACAAGGAUUCCCCUAGUAACGGCGAGUGAAGCGGGAAGAGCUCAAAUUUGAAAUCUUAAAGGGUUUCCCUUUACGAAUUGUAGUUUAAAGAAGUGUUUUCUGUUGAGGUUUUGGUAAAAGUUCUUUGGAAUAGGACAUCAUAGAGGGUGAGAAUCCCGUAUUUGACCUUUACUUUCAACUUUGUGAUACACUUUCAAAGAGUCGGAUUGUUUGGGAAUGCAGUCCAAAAUGGGUGGUAAAUUUCAUCUAAAGCUAAAUAUUGGCGAGAGACCGAUAGCGAACAAGUACCGUGAGGGAAAGAUGAAAAGAACUUUGAAAAGAGAGUUAAACAGUACGUGAAAUUGUCAAAAGGGAAGCGUUUGACACCAGUGUUGUUUUUCUGAAAUCAAUUAAAGAACUGUUUAUGCUAAGUUGUUUAGACUUUAUCAGCUAACUGUUUAGUUUUGAGCUUUUCUUUAAUGCACUUUUCAGUUAACAAGUCAACAUCAAUUUCUUUUGCUGUAAAAAAGCUUGAGGAAGGUGGCUUGAGAUUCGUCUUAAGUGUUUAUAGCCUCUUGCCUAUGCAGUCGGAGAGAUUGAGGUCUGCAGCGUAGAUCCUUCGGGGCUAAAUGCAUUUGUGCUAAGUUAUAGCAUUUUAUAGACAACUUGUUGACUAUGAUUUGUCUUGUAGCUUACUCGCUUAUGUUAUUUUACCUACGCUUAGGAUGUUGAAGAUGUAGCACAUCAU